UAAUAAGUGUUUUUAAUUAAUGGCACUUUUUUAAAUCCAUAUCCACCUUGUGUGCAAUGUCAGUUCGGUUUUCCUCUUUUUUCGUCAAGAAAAAAAAGGAUCGACCAAACAUCAACUUAUUCUAAUUGAAACUUUUUGUCUGAAAACUAUUAUGAAUAAAACUAAUUUCAAAAUA
rnacentral:misc_RNA from 1 species